GGGAUGACGAUGCGGUGCCCGAUAGGUUGGCUCUCGAGUGGGCAGGGCUGGAGGCGCCGGGCGCCUGAGCCCCCAAGCGGGUGGCCGAGGUGAGCCGGGAAGAUGGCGGAGUGAGAGGAAGAGGCUGAGGGGAGAGGGCCGGCCGCGGCCUGGCGGCCUCGGCCAGAGACAGGUUCACUUGUGUUCCAUUUUGAGUGCCAAUCAGCAAACUGAAAGGAAAGGCUCUUGGUGGAAAAUGAUGGCAUGUGUGGCCAUGAGGUUAAGGGUCUGUUCCUGGCAUCCCAGAGGAAGUUAUCCGGUUACUUUUGCUUAGAAACUGAUCAUAGACAGUGAAAGGUGGAUUCUCCAUUACUGGUGAAGAAAAGUCUUUUCCUUAUCUCUAUGGCAUGUAAUGAGAAAAGAUUCUUUUCUUUAUGUUUCAACUUCUUAAGCCAACAUUUGAUGUGUGGAGCCUGCACCAGCUGGCAUCCCCCAUAGGAGCACACAGCAAGCAUUUUACCAACCCUUACAAGUGAGCAACUGAAAUCAAAGUUUGAUAUGUCCCUGAAGUGAUGUCUUCAGAGUUUUUGAGCUCUGUUUUUGCACCCUAGAGAAGAUUUUUACAGGCAUGCUCUCACAGAAACCAGUCUUCUUGAAUGGUAUCUCCUUUCUAUAAUCUUAGGAGCGUAACGUCUUCUCCCACUGUGCCCUAUUGGAGAACCAAGUAAAUGGAUAAUGCAUCUGCAUGUGAUGCUGUGCCAAGCUGUUUCAACAUAUGUGAAAGGUUGCAGCAAGAGAACCAGAACAGAUUUCCACCCUGAAAUGAGGAACAAACUUUAAAAAAAAAAACAAAAAAAAACCCCAAAACCCACAAUCCUGGAAAAUCCCCUAAUGAGGAUGUCCUAAUCCAGAACAAAGAACUGACUUUGUAGAUAAAUGUCUCGGAUGUCACCUCGUGAAGCAGCUAAUGAGCAGAAACAAAUACAGAAUUACCUUGUCUAUCAUGGAUGAAUGAAUCCUCACAUUCUGUGAUCAAAAACAUCUGCAUGUGUAAAUCCACAUAACCUGUGAAUGUGAAGAGCUUUCACCAGGAAAAGAAGUUGCUCUGCACUGUCUCUUUUGUAGCAAGCCCCUUCCCUAAGAAGGUGAAUCUUUGAGAACCUUCUUGUGCUAAAGUUGAUCCUAUAGUGUUGGGUUUACAUUGUACCUCCAGUCUUCUCCAGCAGCUUCAGCAGCAAAAGGAACAAAAAAAACUCUCUAUGAUCCAAGAGAUGGAACAGAACUUCUUCUUUUUAAUAAAGGAACUGACCUCUGGUGAGAUGGGAGAGGCUACAAGUGUAAUGCUCCAGCUCAUCCCCUCAACGUCCUGGAUGCAGUUUAUAACUUCUUCAUACAGCUGAUGGAGUUGGUUUUUAACUCUCCUUUGGCUACUGGAAAACUGGGAUGGGUACUUUUCCAGGGUGUAGGUGAUGGGAGGUCUGAUAAAGGAAACAAGUUCAGAGCGAGCAGAAAUGCUGAAGGAAGUGUGCUCUUUUUCUGGCUCCUCCUGUAUCUCCUUUCAAACUAAGGAGGAGAUCAUGGUUCUCACGUGUUUACACCAGAGUCUUUGUCUCCAUCACUUGUGACUUAUACGGGAUGUUUUCCUUCCGUUUGAGAGAGAGAAGCUUUGUUGUUAGUUGCUCCCUGCAGUGGUAGUCUGUGUGGUCAAUGAGGUUUCUUGGUGGAAAGGCCAUAAUUGGUUUAUCUGUUUUCUUCCACUUGAACCUGGAACACUUAGUAGUGCACCUUAUUUCAAGCUUGUGUUAAUGUGAAUUUAGCAAAUGUGGUUUGCUGAUUUUAAAAAAAAAUAUAAUUUCAAAUCUGGAUCAAAAAAGGGGUAUAGGCUCUGUUCAUAUUAUUUAUUUUCUUUUAGAAAACCACUGGAGAGAGCCAGGCAACCUAAAAAUGGCUUUUUUUAAAACAAAAAAACA